AGCAGUAGCCGCGGGAAUACAGAGGUCUCAAGCGUUGUUCGGAUUCAUUGGGCGUAAAGGGAGCGUAGGCGGUCGGGUAAGUUGGAUGUGAAAUCCUGGGGCUCAACCUCAGAACUGCAUUCAAUACUGCUUGGCUGGAGUACUGGAGAGGUGAGUGGAAUUCACGGUGUAGCAGUGAAAUGCGUAGAUAUCGUGAGGAAGACCAGCGGCGAAGGCGGCUCUCUGGUCUGUAACUGACGCUGAGGAGCGAAAGCGUGGGGAGCGAACAGGAUUAGAUACCCCUGUAGUCCCUGUCUCUUAUAC
rnacentral:rRNA from 1 species